GGGCCCGCACAAGCGGUGGAGUAUGUGGUUUAAUUCGAUGCAACGCGAAGAACCUUACCAGGGUUUGACAUCCUGCGAAUCUCUUGGAAACAGGAGAGUGCCUUCGGGAACGCAGUGACAGGUGGUGCAUGGCUGUCGUCAGCUCGUGUCGUGAGAUGUUGGGUUAAGUCCCGCAACGAGCGCAACCCACGUCUUUAGUUGCCAGCAUUUAGUUGGGCACUCUAGAGAGACUGCCGGUGAUAAACCGGAGGAAGGUGGGGAUGACGUCAAGUCCUCAUGGCCUUUAUGCCCUGGGCUGCACACGUGCUACAAUGGUAGGUACAGAACGAUGCAAGACCGCGAGGUGGAGCAAAUCGCUAAAACCUGCCCCAGUUCGGAUUGCAGGCUGCAACUCGCCUGCAUGAAGUCGGAAUCGCUAGUAAUCGC
rnacentral:rRNA from 1 species